UAAGGAAGACGAAGAAAAUAGGAAACUUCACAGCCUAACAAAACUAGGAGAAAACCUGCAACAAGAAAUGUACAACACAAGCUAAGAAAGCCUGUAAGACAAAUUAAUCCUGAAGUUGCAACUGAAUUCAAAGAGCAACAUAUGACACAACAAGGCUAUGGAGUGAAGGUUUUUUCUUAGUGGUAAUAUGUGGAGUAAGAAUGAAUUAUGAAUGUGGAGGUAAUGCAACAGCUGCAGCUGCUAGAUCAGUCAAUCUACCACCAAUCAGAGAAGCACCACCACCUGGACCAGCAGUGCAAGCGGCACAAGCAGCAGCACAUGCAUCAACACAGGCAUUAACAGAGGCUUCAGCAUAAGCUCCAGUGGUCGAUAAAGCACAAACAAUUUAAUUAGUAGAUAGAGAUCAAUUGUUACUUAGGAUGUGAAUU